UAGGGAAUCUUCGGCAAUGGACGAAAGUCUGACCGAGCAACGCCGCGUGAGUGAAGAAGGUUUUCGGAUCGUAAAACUCUGUUGUUAGAGAAGAACAAGGACGUUAGUAACUGAACGUCCCCUGACGGUAUCUAACCAGAAAGCCACGGCUAACUACGUGCCAGCAGCCGCGGUAAUACGUAGGUGGCAUGCGUUGUCCGGAUUUAUUGGGCGUAAAGCGAGCGCAGGCGGUUUCUUAAGUCUGAUGUGAAAGCCCCCGGCUCAACCGGGGAGGGUCAUUGGAAACUGGGAGACUUGAGUGCAGAAGAGGAGAGUGGAAUUCCAUGUGUAGCGGUGAAAUGCGUAGAUAUAUGGAGGAACACCAGUGGCGAAGGCGGCUCUCUGGUCUGUAACUGACGCUGAGGCUCGAAAGCGUGGGGAGCAAACAGG
rnacentral:rRNA from 2 species